rnacentral:rRNA from 1 species
GGUUAAGCGACUAAGCGUACACGGUGGAUGCCCUGGCAGUCAGAGGCGAUGAAGGACGUGCUAAUCUGCGAUAAGCGUCGGUAAGGUGAUAUGAACCGUUAUAACCGGCGAUUUCCGAAUGGGGAAACCCAGUGUGUUUCGACACACUAUCAUUAACUGAAUCCAUAGGUUAAUGAGGCGAACCGGGGGAACUGAAACAUCUAAGUACCCCGAGGAAAAGAAAUCAACCGAGAUUCCCCCAGUAGCGGCGAGCGAACGGGGAGGAGCCCAGAGCCUGAAUCAGUGUGUGUGUUAGUGGAAGCGUCUGGAAAGGCGCGCGAUACAGGGUGACAGCCCCGUACACAAAAAUGCACAUAUUGUGAGCUCGAUGAGUAGGGCGGGACACGUGGUAUCCUGUCUGAAUAUGGGGGGACCAUCCUCCAAGGCUAAAUACUCCUGACUGACCGAUAGUGAACCAGUACCGUGAGGGAAAGGCGAAAAGAACCCCGGCGAGGGGAGUGAAAAAGAACCUGAAACCGUGUACGUACAAGCAGUGGGAGCACGCUUAGGCGUGUGACUGCGUACCUUUUGUAUAAUGGGUCAGCGACUUAUAUUCUGUAGCAAGGUUAACCGAAUAGGGGAGCCGAAGGGAAACCGAGUCUUAACUGGGCGUUAAGUUGCAGGGUAUAGACCCGAAACCCGGUGAUCUAGCCAUGGGCAGGUUGAAGGUUGGGUAACACUAACUGGAGGACCGAACCGACUAAUGUUGAAAAAUUAGCGGAUGACUUGUGGCUGGGGGUGAAAGGCCAAUCAAACCGGGAGAUAGCUGGUUCUCCCCGAAAGCUAUUUAGGUAGCGCCUCGUGAACUCAUCUCCGGGGGUAGAGCACUGUUUCGGCAAGGGGGUCAUCCCGACUUACCAACCCGAUGCAAACUGCGAAUACCGGAGAAUGUUAUCACGGGAGACACACGGCGGGUGCUAACGUCCGUCGUGAAGAGGGAAACAACCCAGACCGCCAGCUAAGGUCCCAAAGUCAUGGUUAAGUGGGAAACGAUGUGGGAAGGCCCAGACAGCCAGGAUGUUGGCUUAGAAGCAGCCAUCAUUUAAAGAAAGCGUAAUAGCUCACUGGUCGAGUCGGCCUGCGCGGAAGAUGUAACGGGGCUAAACCAUGCACCGAAGCUGCGGCAGCGACACUAUGUGUUGUUGGGUAGGGGAGCGUUCUGUAAGCCUGUGAAGGUGUGCUGUGAGGCAUGCUGGAGGUAUCAGAAGUGCGAAUGCUGACAUAAGUAACGAUAAAGCGGGUGAAAAGCCCGCUCGCCGGAAGACCAAGGGUUCCUGUCCAACGUUAAUCGGGGCAGGGUGAGUCGACCCCUAAGGCGAGGCCGAAAGGCGUAGUCGAUGGGAAACAGGUUAAUAUUCCUGUACUUGGUGUUACUGCGAAGGGGGGACGGAGAAGGCUAUGUUGGCCGGGCGACGGUUGUCCCGGUUUAAGCGUGUAGGCUGGUUUUCCAGGCAAAUCCGGAAAAUCAAGGCUGAGGCGUGAUGACGAGGCACUACGGUGCUGAAGCAACAAAUGCCCUGCUUCCAGGAAAAGCCUCUAAGCAUCAGGUAACAUCAAAUCGUACCCCAAACCGACACAGGUGGUCAGGUAGAGAAUACCAAGGCGCUUGAGAGAACUCGGGUGAAGGAACUAGGCAAAAUGGUGCCGUAACUUCGGGAGAAGGCACGCUGAUAUGUAGGUGAAGUCCCUUGCGGAUGGAGCUGAAAUCAGUCGAAGAUACCAGCUGGCUGCAACUGUUUAUUAAAAACACAGCACUGUGCAAACACGAAAGUGGACGUAUACGGUGUGACGCCUGCCCGGUGCCGGAAGGUUAAUUGAUGGGGUCAGCGCAAGCGAAGCUCUUGAUCGAAGCCCCGGUAAACGGCGGCCGUAACUAUAACGGUCCUAAGGUAGCGAAAUUCCUUGUCGGGUAAGUUCCGACCUGCACGAAUGGCGUAAUGAUGGCCAGGCUGUCUCCACCCGAGACUCAGUGAAAUUGAACUCGCUGUGAAGAUGCAGUGUACCCGCGGCAAGACGGAAAGACCCCGUGAACCUUUACUAUAGCUUGACACUGAACAUUGAGCCUUGAUGUGUAGGAUAGGUGGGAGGCUUUGAAGUGUGGACGCCAGUCUGCAUGGAGCCGACCUUGAAAUACCACCCUUUAAUGUUUGAUGUUCUAACGUUGACCCGUAAUCCGGGUUGCGGACAGUGUCUGGUGGGUAGUUUGACUGGGGCGGUCUCCUCCUAAAGAGUAACGGAGGAGCACGAAGGUUGGCUAAUCCUGGUCGGACAUCAGGAGGUUAGUGCAAUGGCAUAAGCCAGCUUGACUGCGAGCGUGACGGCGCGAGCAGGUGCGAAAGCAGGUCAUAGUGAUCCGGUGGUUCUGAAUGGAAGGGCCAUCGCUCAACGGAUAAAAGGUACUCCGGGGAUAACAGGCUGAUACCGCCCAAGAGUUCAUAUCGACGGCGGUGUUUGGCACCUCGAUGUCGGCUCAUCACAUCCUGGGGCUGAAGUAGGUCCCAAGGGUAUGGCUGUUCGCCAUUUAAAGUGGUACGCGAGCUGGGUUUAGAACGUCGUGAGACAGUUCGGUCCCUAUCUGCCGUGGGCGCUGGAGAACUGAGGGGGGCUGCUCCUAGUACGAGAGGACCGGAGUGGACGCAUCACUGGUGUUCGGGUUGUCAUGCCAAUGGCACUGCCCGGUAGCUAAAUGCGGAAGAGAUAAGUGCUGAAAGCAUCUAAGCACGAAACUUGCCCCGAGAUGAGUUCUCCCUGACCCUUUAAGGGUCCUGAAGGAACGUUGAAGACGACGACGUUGAUAGGCCGGGUGUGUAAGCGCAGCGAUGCGUUGAGCUAACCGGUACUAAUGAACCGUGAGGCUUAACCUU